ensembl:misc_RNA Metazoa_SRP Metazoan signal recognition particle RNA
GCUGGGCAGAGUGGUGUAUGGUUGUAGUCCCAGCUACUCGGGAGGCUGAGGCAGGAGGAUCACUUGAGCCCAGGAGUUCAAGGUUGCAGUGAGCUAUGAUUGGGCCACUGCACUCUAGCCUGGGCAACAGAGUGAAAUCCUGAUUCAA